rnacentral:rRNA from 1 species
UACGGAGGGGGCUAGCGUUGUUCGGAAUUACUGGGCGUAAAGCGCGCGUAGGCGGCUUUGCAAGUUAGAGGUGAAAGCCCGGGGCUUAACCCCGGAAUUGCCUUUAAAACUGCAUCGCUAGAAUUGUGGAGAGGUGAGUGGAAUUCCGAGUGUAGAGGUGAAAUUCGUAGAUAUUCGGAAGAACACCAGUGGCGAAGGCGACUCACUGGACACAUAUUGACGCUGAGGUGCGAAAGCGUGGGGAGCAAACAGG